rnacentral:rRNA from 1 species
UACAGAGGUCUCAAGCGUUGUUCGGAUUCAUUGGGCGUAAAGGGUGCGUAGGCGGCGCGGUAAGUCGGGUGUGAAAUUUCGAGGCUUAACUUCGAAACUGCAUUCGAUACUGCCGUGCUUGAGGACUGGAGAGGAGACUGGAAUUUACGGUGUAGCGGUGAAAUGCGUAGAUAUCGUAAGGAAGACCAGUGGCGAAGGCGGGUCUCUGGACGACUCCUGACACUGAGGCACGAAAGCUAGGGGAGCAAACAGG